rnacentral:lncRNA from 1 species
AUGGUCAGACACAGCCUGGACAGGAGCAUUCACACAGAGCCAGACUGCACCACUUACCGCAUUGAUCCUGCGGACAAGGACGGGCCUGACCUCCAGCUCCAGCAGCCAGUCAGCCUCCAGAAUGCCGCGGUGGUACUCCUCCAGCUCCAGGUGCUUCUGCAGCUUCUCCAUCAGGGCAGCUGGAGGUGCAUGCCCCCCACGUCCUGCAUCCCUGGACUCCAUCCCCUGGCACUGCAGCUGCAGGCGCAGGGCGCGGAUGCGUCGGGUGACGCUGUGGAUCUGGGUGUGCAGGGCGGCUGCUCGCUCAGCACGAGGCAGCAGGACCAGCAGCUCCUCCCAGCUCUCCUGCAGCUGGGCCCGCAAUGUCCCAGCACUGCUCCCUGCUCCCCAAAGCUUCAUUGGGAUGGGAUAGUCUGGGGGUUGGGGGGUCUUACUGCUUGGCUGCACGGAGCCUGGAGGUGGGCAGAGGCUGUACCUGCUCCGGUGCAGACGGACCCACCGCUGGGCAAGCUCAGCCGUGGCGAGGCUCUGGUGGAAGAUGUCAGGAAGCAGCCGCAGGACCUUUGCCACUGGCUCUACAUUGGCGAAGCCACUCAGGUCACGCAGACUUUGGGGGCUGAACACCUGCUCAUGGAGCAUCCCUCCCCGCAGCAGCAGUGCCCAGUUGCGGCGGCAGGUGAAGAGGAGUGCGGCCAGGUGUGGGAUGGAGGCUGGGGGGAGCAGCUCCUCAUUCACAUACAGAUGCUCACACAGCGGGAACACCACCCUUGUGUCAAACCUCUCCUUCAUGGCCUGCAGGUGCUGCAGGUAGGAGCCCAGCCAGCCCACAUAGCCACACACAUCAGGGCUUGGCGAGCCGGGCAGGUGCUUGGAGAGCCACUCCAGGUCCUCCCAGCUGUCCAGCUGCCCCGAGGGGCUGUGCGGCAGCACCAGCAGCAGCACUUUGUGCAGGGCACGCAGGUCGAAGCUGUGCUGGCACUGCUGCACGUGCCCCACAAAGACAUCGAUCUCACCUUCAAGGGCAGAGUAGAGAGCCUCCAUGGGGGCAGAGGGCUGGCAGCUGGGAUCAGAACUCAUCUUGAGGGCCAGAGCUGCAGCAACACACCAUGCAGGGGGAGCAGCGGGGUGCCUGUGCCCUAG